UAAGACAAAGUUGAAUGUUAUCAGAUUGAUAUAUAUUUACUAGAUCUUGUCUGGUCAUUCACCUCAGUCGAGUCAACCGAGUCAGUUGACUCGGUAGGAAUUUGAGGACUGAAAUCUUGCUCUUCAGUGACGCUGAGAAGGCGAAUGUGUCAAGUACCCAAUACAUGUAAUACAGAACUGUAGAAUUUGAAGUGUGGUGAAUGAUAAUACUAUACCACGCACAUUUUCAUUACCGCAUCAUCACAUCAUGUUGCCUUAUUGGAACUGGAUUACAUUUGGGCUACUGUAAAAUUGCAGUAAUUGUGUCACUGCUUAUAAUAUUUUAAUUUAUUGUUGGAACACUCCUCAAAAUACUGGGAAUAGCUUAUCUGAGCUUCAAGAAAUCCAAAAGUUUCUGGGGGAGCAUGCCCCCAGACCCCUCCAGACAGCUCGCACCUUCAGUUAAUUCAGAUUCUUCGCUAGCCUGCGCGCAGACUAUAUAAUGACAUAUUCUUCGCUUGUUAGUGAACGUACAAAAUUAUGGUCAUAAUUGAUUAAGGAUUAUCUUUUCAUCGUUCUAAUUAUUUCAUUAGAUUCGAUUCCACGAUGUUGACAUACGUGCGUCGAGGAAGUUAUUCCUUGGGAAUAAUCGUCAGUUGUGAAAUAUCAGAAGUUUCAGGGCUUGAGUGUGUUACUAUAUGUUUUAUAAAGUGCGAUCUCCUAGCCUGCAUUUUAGACGGCCACUCGUUGAGAUCUCCUGCCUCUAAGAUUAAAAUACCUGUAUUUUAUGUACUGUUUAAUAAACGAGCAGGAGUGUUUUAUUAGGUUUAAAGCCACGAGCGCGCAGCGCGAGUGGCU